GAUGAAGAACGUAGUGAAAUGCGAUAAGUAAUGUGAAUUGCAGAAUUCAGUGAAUCAUCGAAUCUUUGAACGCACAUUGCGCCCGCCAGUAUUCUGGCGGGCAUGCCUGUCUGAGCGUCAUUUCAACCCUCAUGCCCCUAGGGCGUGGUGUUGGGGAUCGGCCAAAGCCCGCGAGGGACGGCCGGCCCCUAAAUCUAGUGGCGGACCCGUCGUGGCCUCCUCUGCGAAGUAGUGAUAUUCCGCAUCGGAGAGCGAUGAGCCCCUGCCGUUAAACCCCCAACUUUCCAAGGUUGACCUCAGAUCAGGUAGGAAUACCCGCUGAACUUAAGCAUAUCAAAAGCGGAGGA
rnacentral:misc_RNA from 1 species